rnacentral:lncRNA from 1 species
UGUACCCCUCAUCCUCUGGUCAUGUGCCCGAGUUGGCAUGUUCUGCGCACAUCCCGUGUGUUCUCUAUCCCUGGAGUUAGCCCUGACCUUCUGCUUGCGAGGCAGGCGUGGCGCCACUGAGCUAAAUCCUCAGCCCCAUGCUAUUUCCAUUUUAUGUAGGAGAAAGUUGAAGUUCUGAAAGGACACAAAAGGAGAUCAACAUUAAAUUAGGAAAUAUCCAGAAAGAUCCAACUACUUGCUAAAAUAGCCAACAGAGGGAAAAGGAGGACGGGCCAGGAUUCCUGGAGGUCCCACCUUGAAGCUGAAGCAGAGCAAAGGUGAAAACAAGAAUCUUCGGAUUCCCUGGUCAGACACUGAAGGGCGCAUGUGCAUGCACCUCAGCACCAACUGGCAAAGAUCUGGUCUGUGGCCACAGAGUCCCUGGCAUGCCUGCAGGGGAAGGAAUAUCACCAUGGUCAAGACCAAAGUGAGAAGGACCACGGAGGGGGACACUAAACACCUGAAGACUUUGAAAUGGCACAGUGGGUGCAAGAGGAACAUCGUGCCACAAAAUGCCAUCAGAUUGUCCCAGGCAGUCUGGACCAUGACCUCCAUGAGAGCAGGAACUUGUUCCACCUUGUUCUCUGCUGAUGCUCAGUACCUAAAACAACUGAUACACUGCAGAAACUCACAAGUAUUUAUUCACUGAAAGAAAAAGCUGAAACGGGGCCAGGGAUUUAGCUCAGUGGUUUCACCGCCUGCUGCGCAAGCACAAGGACCUGAGUUCAAUCCCUGGUACCAAAAAAAAAAAAAAAAGAUUCAAAGAAAAAGCUGAAAAAAAU